GGGCACCACCGGGAGUGGAGCCUGCGGCUUAAUUUGACUCAACACGGGAAAACUCACCCGGCCCGGACACCGUAAGGAUUGACAGAUUGAGAGCUCUUUCUUGAAUUGGUUGGGUGGUGGUGCAUGGCUGUACGAGAGACGAGAUGAGUGGACCGCUGGCUUGCUUUAACGCUUGGGUAGUUGAUAGGUUGGAAAUGACCGCAGGCGCACGAACGGUGGAGCUGGGAAUUGAACAAAACUUUGGGGAUGCCUGGCCUGGAUUGUUCUGGGCUAAGGCUGUGACCUCUGUAGUGUUCUUUAUUCGGCACUGCCUAGUACUGCCCUGCACUGCCCCGUCGGCUCUGACCUGCGACAUCCUUUUUACUGUGAGCAGCGGCGCUCGGCCGCACGAGAUUGAGCAAAAACAGGUCUGUGAUACCCUAGAUGUCCGGAGCCGCACGCGCGCUACAUUGAAGGAAUCAGCGAGAAUCCUCAGUCUGACAGGAAUGGGUAACCUCCUGAACCUCUUUCGUGACAGGG
rnacentral:rRNA from 1 species